rnacentral:tRNA from 1 species
GCCUCUGUAGCUCAGUCGGUAGAGCACCACCAUGGUAAGGUGGGGGUCAUCGGUUCAAGUCCGAUCGGAGGCU